AGAGUCCUAAGGUGUUCGUUAAAUACCGAUUGUUUUGAGCCAACAUUUUUACAACGGGAGCUUGGAGUUUUCAUUUGGAGUACAUGCCUCAUUUUUAAAAAGAGAGGACUUACAAAGAAUGAAGCAGAGCACCCACCUGCCGAGAGCAGGUUCAAAACAAAGGAUAUGACGGCACAAUUGGGGCUCUU
rnacentral:other from 1 species